rnacentral:rRNA from 1 species
CCCUUAGAUGUCCUGGGCCGCACGCGCGUUACACUGAUGCAUUCAACGAGCAUAUAACCUUGGCCGAGAGGCCUGGGUAAUCUUGUUAACAUGCAUCGUGAUAGGGAUAGAUUAUUGCAAUUAUUAAUCUUGAACGAGGAAUUCCUAGUAAUCGCAGUUCAUCAAACUGCAAUGAUUACGUCCCUGCCCUUUGUACACACCGCCCGUCGCUCCUACCGAUUGAAUGAUCCGAUGAAUAUCAUGGAUUGAGGAUGCAAGUAGGUUCACCUAUCUUCAUCUUCGAGAAGUGAAGUAAAUCUUAUCAUUUAGAGGAAGGAGAAGUCGUAACA